rnacentral:rRNA from 1 species
GACGAACGCUGGCGGCGUGCCUAAUACAUGCAAGUUGAGCGCUGAAGGUUGGUACUUGUACCAACUGGAUGAGCAGCGAACGGGUGAGUAACGCGUGGGGAAUCUGCCUUUGAGCGGGGGACAACAUUUGGAAACGAAUGCUAAUACCGCAUAAAAACUUUAAACACAAGUUUUAAGUUUGAAAGAUGCAAUUGCAUCACUCAAAGAUGAUCCCGCGUUGUAUUAGCUAGUUGGUGAGGUAAAGGCUCACCAAGGCGAUGAUACAUAGCCGACCUGAGAGGGUGAUCGGCCAAAUUGGGACGGGAACACGGCCCAAACUCCUACGGGAGGCAGCAGUAGGGAAUCUUCGGCAAUGGACGAAAGUCUGACCGAGCAACGCCGCGUGAGUGAAGAAGGUUUUCGGAUCGUAAAACUCUGUUGGUAGAGAAGAACGUUGGUGAGAGUGGAAAGCUCAUCAAGUGACGGUAACUACCCAGAAAGGGACGGCUAACUACGUG